rnacentral:rRNA from 1 species
UACGUAGGGGGCAAGCGUUGUCCGGAAUUAUUGGGCGUAAAGAGCGUGUAGGCGGUCCGGUAAGUCCGCUGUGAAAGUCGGGGGCUCAACCCUCGAAUGCCGGUGGAUACUGUCGGGCUAGAGUACAGAAGAGGCGAGUGGAAUUCCUGGUGUAGCGGUGAAAUGCGCAGAUAUCAGGAGGAACACCUAUUGCGAAGGCAGCUCGCUGGGACGUAACUGACGCUGAGACGCGAAAGCGUGGGGAGCAAACAGG